UGGUCAACCAGCAAGAAGCCAUCCCACCC
rnacentral:piRNA from 1 species